rnacentral:lncRNA from 13 species
GGUAAACCAAAGUUCUAAGGUUAAAAUGUUUGGACUAAAGGAAGUGGAUGGAAGUGAAAGAGAAAACAGCAGCCCCUAAGAUAUGCCUACUCUUCUACGAAACCUGGUUACACCUCCGUGGCAGCAGGAUUGGUGCAAAGUUGGAUUGAAUUCCCUCAGAUGAAGUAAACCCUUUCAGUAUGCCAUCUCUAGAAACUGUAUCAAGUUAUCUCAAAAUUUAAAUUUCCUCUGACUUAUCUUCCCUCAAAAUAGAGUUCAAUCUUAAGGUUAGAUUCACUUUAUUCUCUAGUAUAAACCAACCUCCCUUUUUUUCUCUUGCCUUAUUUACUUAUUAAAUAAUUAAUUAAUUUUGUUUGCUUGUCUGCAUUUCUUUUCAGAAAGGAAAUCCUAAAGCUUCAGUGGUCCAAAUGAAGUUAAUAAACCUGGAAAGUUUGCCUGGAAAUCUUCAGAACAUUUCAAACAUCUUUUUGUUACUACUAAGAAAACACAAAUGGUUAUAUAAUCUGAGCCAAAGCAAAAGUAAGAUCAUCAUUAUAAUGGUAUCCAUCUUAUAAGAUCUUCAGAAAUGCUAAAUGAGGUUUUUCAUCAAACAUAUUUAGAAAAGUGCAUGACAUAUAAGUAUUCAAUAAAAGUUACUAUUAUG